rnacentral:tRNA from 1 species
GGGGGUGUAGCUCAGUUGGGAGAGCGACGCGUUCGCAACGCGUAGGUCACGAGUUCGAGUCUCGCCAUCUCCA